UUUUUGGAGAGUUUGAUCCUGGCUCAGGACGAACGCUGGCGGCGUGCCUAAUACAUGCAAGUCGUGCGCACAGAGGAGAGCUUGCUCCCUGAGGUGAGCGGCGGAUGGGUGAGUAACACGUGGG
rnacentral:rRNA from 1 species